rnacentral:rRNA from 1 species
AGGAUUAACGCUGGCGGCGUGCCUAACACAUGCAAGUCGAACGAGGUAGCAAUACCUAGUGGCAGACGGGUGAGUAACACGUGGUCAACCUACCCUUCAGUGGGGGAUAACUAACCGAAAGGUUAGCUAAUACCGCAUAUGUCCCGAAUCGCAUGAUUUGACGACAAAAGGAGCAAU